GAGCUGGCUCUUGGGCAGGUCCUUAAAGCCAGAACAGAAUUUUGAUAGGAGGUGAGAAAGUAAGAAGCAUUUUUAGCCAAGAUAGUUAAUUUAACUCAUUAAAUACUUAGAACAAACUGUAGUAAGUAGAGUUAACUACUAAUCAGCACUGCUAGGUGUUAGGCACUACCCUAAAUAUUUAACACAAAUUAUCUAAAUUAAUCUAUUUGAAAACUUGAGGUAGAUACUCUUACUAUUUUCAUUUUAAAGACGAAGCUCUGAGACACAGAGAGAUCACUCAGCUAGUUAGUGGUAGAAUCAGGAUUCAAUCCAGAGCAGCUGCUGACUCCAGGACCUACACGGCUGAAAACAAGGAUCCUGGAGUCAACUGGCUGGCUUCAAAUUCUGAUUCCAUCUACAGCACUUAGGUUACUGCCUGCCACCGGCAGACGUAUGAUUGCCUGUGGAUGAUACACUUUCCCCAGUCAGGAGUUGCAUGGAGAUUUUUUACACUUAAGGUGUCUCCCUGGCUGACAUCAUGAAAGAAAAGGAAAAGGAAAUCAGAAAAGGAAAUGGUGUGGAUUUAGUCCAAUUUGUCUCUCAACUGCAUAUCUUCACAUUUGUUCAAGGAGAAGAAUCAGAUCAAUGAAAGGGCAAGCAGAGGAAGGGGCAGAAGGAGAAAGAAAAUCUCAACCAGACUCCACGCUAAGUGCAGAGCCCGAUGUGGGGCUUGAUUCCACGACCCUGAGAUCAUGACCUGAGCAGAAAUCAAGAGUUGGACAGUUAACAGACUGAGCCACCCAGGUGCUCCUAUCUUUGCCUUUUAUGUUCCCAAUUAACCUAUGUAAAAUGUGAGGUACAAAUAGGAGAAUGAUGGUUUUUGUUACUCUUGGAGGUAUAAUAUGGUCAAAUACUGUCUUUUUUGUUGUUUUUUUUCCCUAGAGAGUGCGUGUGUGCAUGAGCAGGGGAAGGGCAGAGGGAGAGGGAGAGAGAAUCUUAAGCAAGCUUCAUGCCUAGCACUGAACCUGACUCAGAGCUCAGUCUCAUGACCCUGAGAUCCUGACCUAAGCCGAAAUCAAGAGUCAGAUACCUAACCGAUUGAGCCACCGAGGCACCCCAAAAUAUUUUCUUUAAAAGGGCUUUCAGUUGGCAAUAAAACUUCUAAAGUCUUAACUUUGUCACUCAAACAUAUAACAAAAAGCAAAAAUAAAAACAUAAUAUCCCAUAGUUUGUAUUAUUUUGAUUUACUCCAUAUAAUAGUAUGCAGAUUGCCAAAACCAAGCACAAUAAAAAUGUACUAAGACUUCACAGGGAAACCAAGUAUUUAAUGACUAUUCAUUUUUUCCAUAAACAUUUAAUGAACACCUAAUAUGUGCCAGGCUGAGACAGAAAUUGGGUAUAUGGUGGUCAACAAAACAGCCAUAUUCU